GUAUAAAUGUCUAUUCUGCACAAGGUCAAGGACAAGUCUGGUGGGAUCCAUGCCUGGUUCAUUUUAGUAAAUGUGAGCUUGUCCACGUUGGCCACGUUGGGAUCCAUGCCUGGUUCAUUUUAGUAAAUGUGAGCUUGUCCACGUUGGCAGCUGCGCUUGUCUGUGAUAACCUUGUGCCGAUCGCACGUCCCCGUGACGGCGACAACGCAUUCGGAUGUCUGCCCUAUCAACUUUCUAUGCAAUUUUCUGUGCCUACCAUGAUGACCACGGGUAACGGGGAAUCAGGGUUCGAUUUCAGAGAGGGAGCCUGAGAAACGGCUACCACAUGCAAGGAAGGCAGCAGGCGCACAAAUUACCUACUCCCGACGUGGGGAGGUAGUGACGACAAAUAACAAUACACUACUCUUUCGAGGCCCUGUAAUUUUUAUGAGUCCACUUUAAAUCCUUAAACUUGGAUCAAUUGGAGGGCAAGUCUGGUGCAGAGCGACUGACCCAUGCGUGCUGCAGCUGAAACUCCACU